UACGAGUACCCCAAGCGUUGUUCGGAAUUAUUGGGCGUAAAGCGCGUGUAGGCGGUCCGGUAAGUCGGCUGUGAAAGUCCAGGGCUCAACCCUGGGAUGCCGGUCGAUACUGCCGGACUAGAGUGUGGUAGGGGAGACUGGAAUUCCUGGUGUAGCGGUGGGAUGCGCAGAUAUCAGGAGGAACACCGAUGGCGAAGGCAGGUCUCUGGGCCAUUACUGACGCUGAGAAGCGAAAGCAUGGGGAGCGAACAGG
rnacentral:rRNA from 1 species